rnacentral:rRNA from 1 species
UACGGGGGGGGCAAGCGUUGUUCGGAAUUACUGGGCGUAAAGGGCUCGUAGGCGGCCAACUAAGUCGGACGUGAAAUCCCCAGGCUUAACCUGGGAACUGCAUUCGAGACUGCAUUGCUAGAGUAUGGGAGAGGGAAGUGGAAUUUCCGGUGUAGCGGUGAAAUGCGUAGAUAUCGGAAGGAACAUCAGUGGCGAAAGCGACUUCCUGGACCAAUACUGACGCUCAUGUGCGAAAGCGUGGGAGCAAACAGG